UACGGAGGAUGCGAGCGUUAUCCGGAUUCAUUGGGUUUAAAGGGUGCGUAGGCGGGAUGCCAAGUCAGCGGUAAAAAUGCGGUGCUCAACGCCGUCGAGCCGUUGAAACUGGUGUUCUUGAGUGGGCGAGAAGUAUGCGGAAUGCGUGGUGUAGCGGUGAAAUGCAUAGAUAUCACGCAGAACUCCGAUUGCGAAGGCAGCAUACCGGCGCCCUACUGACGCUGAGGCACGAAAGCGUGGGUAUCGAACAGG
rnacentral:rRNA from 1 species